rnacentral:rRNA from 1 species
UACGUAGGGGGCUAGCGUUGUCCGGAAUCAUUGGGCGUAAAGCGCGUGUAGGCGGCCCGGUAAGUCCGCUGUGAAAGUCGGGGGCUCAACCCUCGGAUGCCGGUGGAUACUGUCGGGCUCGAGUACGGAAGAGGCGAGUGGAAUUCCUGGUGUAGCGGUGAAAUGCGCAGAUAUCAGGAGGAACACCGAUUGCGAAGGCAGCUCGCUGGGACGUUACUGACGCUGAGACGCGAAAGCGUGGGGAGCAAACAGG